rnacentral:rRNA from 1 species
UACGUAGGUGACAAGCGUUGUCCGGAUUUACUGGGCGUAAAGAGCGCGCAGGCGGUCGAUCAAGUCGAGUGUGAAAGCCCCCGGCUCAACUGGGGAGGGUCAUUCGAUACUGAUCGACUCGAAGGCAGGAGAGGGUAGUGGAAUUCCCGGUGUAGUGGUGAAAUGCGUAGAGAUCGGGAGGAACAUCAGUGGCGAAGGCGGCCAUCUGGGACAACACUGACGCUGAAGCACGAAAGCGUGGGGAGCAAACAGG